AGAUGUGAGGGUGAUCUGGCUGCGACAUCUGUUACCCCACUGAUUGCCAGGGUUGAUUUGGCUGAUCUGGCUGGCUAGGUGGGUGUCCCCUUCCUCCCUCACACUCCAUAUGUGUCCCUCCCGAAGCUGCACGCUUCGGUUGAAGAGGACAACCAAUCCCUGAUAGAGGAGGACCGUUCCCUCUUGGUCCAAGGGUAUAUGAAGUAGCUGCGCUCCCCUGCUAAACCUCCAAACAUCUCUCAAAAUCUGAGCCUUUCAAACACCAUUU
rnacentral:sRNA from 1 species